rnacentral:rRNA from 1 species
CACUACGACUAUGCUACCCUGAACAAGCCUGAUCCUGUCUGAUCUCAGAAGCUAAGCAGGGUCGGGCCUGAUUAGUACUUGGAAUGGGAGACUACCUAGGAAGACCAGGUGCAGUAGGUG